rnacentral:rRNA from 1 species
UGAGGAAUAUUGGUCAAUGGUCGGGAGACUGAACCAGCCAAGCCGCGUGAGGGAUGAAGGUACAGAGUAUCGUAAACCUCUUUUGUCAGGGAACAAAAGGCGCCACGUGUGGCGCUCCGAGUGUACCUGAAGAAAAAUGCAUCGGCUAACUCCGUGCCAGCAGCCGCGGUAAUACGGAGGAUGCGAGCGUUAUCCGGAUUUAUUGGGUUUAAAGGGUGCGUAGGCGGCGAGUUAAGUCAGCGGUAAAAUGCCCGGGGCUCAACCCCGGCCCAGCCGUUGAAACUGGCUUGCUUGAGUUGGAGAGAAGUAGGCGGAAUGCGCGGUGUAGCGGUGAAAUGCUUAGAUAUCGCGCAGAACUCCGAUUGCGAAGGCAGCAUACCGGCGCUCAACUGACGCUCAGGCACGAAAGCGCGGGUAUCGAACAGAUUAGAUACC